rnacentral:rRNA from 1 species
GACGAACGCUGGCGGCGUGCUUAACACAUGCAAGUCGAACGGAAAGGCCCUGCUUUUGUGGGGUGCUCGAGUGGCGAACGGGUGAGUAACACGUGAGUAACCUGCCCUUGACUUUGGGAUAACUUCAGGAAACUGGGGCUAAUACCGGAUAGGAGCUCCUGCUGCAUGGUGGGGGUUGGAAAGUUUCGGCGGUUGGGGAUGGACUCGCGGCUUAUCAGCUUGUUGGUGGGGUAGUGGCUUACCAAGGCUUUGACGGGUAGCCGGCCUGAGAGGGUGACCGGCCAAAUUGGGACUGGGAAACGGCCCAGACCCCUCGGGGGGGAAGGAGGGGGGAAUUGUGAACAAGGGGGGGAAGCCUGAUGCAGCAACCCCGCGGGGGGGAUGGCGGCCUUCGGGUUGUAAACCGCUUUCGCCUGUGACGAAGGGGGAGUGACGGUAAUGGGUAAAGAAGCACCGGCUAACUACGU